CAAUUUUUUUUCAUUAGUUUACCUUUAUAUUAAAUGAUCAUAUUUAAGUACUAUACAUUAAUUUUUCAUCGUGCUGGCAGUUGCAGGGCUUGAAUGAUUGUUGUUUGUAAGUACGACCAUUGAAUGAUUGUUGGGGGAGAUAUUUUAUCCUUAUUUGCUUUAGAACAAAUUGUAACAAUGGUUCUUUAAUUUUAAUUAAAUUGA
rnacentral:lncRNA from 1 species